rnacentral:rRNA from 1 species
AUGGUGGUAACGGGUAACGGGGUGUUAGGGCACGACACCGGAGAGGGAGCCUGAGAAACGGCUACCACAUCCAAGGAUGGCAGCAGGCGCGCAAAUUACCCAAUCCCGACACGGGGAGGUAGUGACAAGAAAUAACAAACCAGGGCUCUUACGAGUCUUGUUAUUGGAAUGAGUACGAUUUAAAUCUCCUAACGAGGAACAAUUGGAGGGCAAGUCUGGUGCCAGCAGCCGCGGUAAUUCCAGCUCCAAUAGCGUAUAUUAAAGUUGUUGCAGUUAAAAAGCUCGUAGUUGAAUUUCGGGAUUGGCGCAUCGGUCGUGCCUCACGGGGUAUGAACUGGUGCAGUCAAUUUCUCACCUUCUGGAGAACCGCGAUGUCCUUAAUUGGAUGCCGCGGGGAACCAGGACCUUUACUUUGAAAAAAUUAGAGUGUUUAAAGCAGGCAUUUUUGCUUGAAUACAUUAGCAUGGAAUAAUAAAAUAGGACGGCAUGGUUCUAUUUUGUUGGUUUCUAGGACCACCGUAAUGAUUAAUAGGGAUAGUUGGGGGCAUUAGUAUUCAAUUGUCAGAGGUGAAAUUCUUGGAUUUAUUGAAGACUAACUACUGCGAAAGCAUUUGCCAAGGAUGUUUUCAUUAACCAAGAACGAAAGUUAGGGGAUCGAAGACGAUCAGAUACCGUCGUAGUCUUAACCAUAAACUAUGCCGA